rnacentral:rRNA from 1 species
CUUGGUUGAUCCUGCCAGUUGUCAUAUACUUGUCCUAAAGAUUAAUCCAUGCAUGUGUAAGUAUAAACAAACUCAGACUGUGAAACUGCGAAUGUCUCAUUAAAUCAGUUAUACUGUGUUUUAUGGUAUAUACUACUCGGAGAACCAUUGUAGUUCUAGAGAUAAUUCGUGCCACAAACCCUGACUUCUUAAAGGGAUGUAUCUAUUAGAUAAAAGGUCAACGUCGGCUCUGCCUGUUGCUGCAAUGAUUCAUGAAAACUCGAUGGAUCGCAUGGCCAUCGUGUCGGCGACGUAUCAUUCAAAUUUCUGACCUAUCAACUUUUGAUGGAAGGAUAUUGGCCUACCAUGGUGGUGAUGGGUGAUAGAGAAUCAGGGUUCGAUUCUGUAGAGGGAGCCUUAGAAACGACUACCACAUCCACGGAAGGAAACAAGUGGUAAUUACCCAAUGCUGACACAGGGAGGUAGUGUCAGUUAUAACAAUACUGCGCUCAAUGUGUUUGGUAAUUAGAAUGAGUACAAUCGAAAUCCCUUAACGAGGAUCCAUUGGAGGGCAAGUCUGGUGCCAGCAGCCGCGGUAAUUCCAGCUCCAAUAGCGUAUAUUUAAGUUGUUGCAGAUAAAAAGCUCGUAGUUGGACUUUGGGAUGGGCCGGACGGUCCACCCUAGGUUCACACCGGUCUUCUCGUCACUUCUAUCAGCGAUCUGAUUGUAGUCUUAAUUUGUCGGGUCAUGCCUCCGGCGCUGUUACUCUAAAGAAAUUAGAGUGGUCAAAGCAAUCCUACGCUCUGUGUACAUUACCAUGGGAUAACAUUAUACGAUUUCAGCCCUAUUAUGUUUGACUUAAGGAUAAGAUUAAUGAUUAACAUGAACAGUCGGGGGCAUUUAUAUUUCAUAGUCAUAUGAUAUAUCACAAACGACUAUCAAAAAUGGAUAUAUCGGCUCUCGCAUUAAUAAAUAACGUACUGAAAUGCGAUACUUGGUGUGAAUUGUAGAAUCCCGUGAACUUUCUAGUCUUUUAACACAAGUUGUGCCCGAAGACAUUAAACUGAGGGCACGUCUGCCUGGGCGUUAUGCAUCGCGUUGCCCCUCGCACGCCGCAAGGAUCGCGCAGGGGCGAAAUAUUUUCUCCCGUGCAUUCAGAGCGCGUGGUUCGCGUAAAUGCGAGUCCAUAUUGACGUAUGUUCAGACAAGUGGUGGUUGAAACUCAACUCUCUCUUGUUUUCGUUGCUAAAGCCUAUCACGCAUCAAGACUCCCAGACCCUCACUACGCCUUGUAUGGCGCUUCAACCUCGACCCCAGGUCAUGCAAGAUUACCAAUUGAGUAUAAGCAUAUCAUAAGCGAAGGAAAAUAAACUUACAAGGAUUCCCUUUGUAACGACGAGCAAAUCGGGAAUAGCCCAUCCUUAGAUUCGGGUGGCUCCAUCGUUCGAAUUAUAGUCUGGAGAAGUUUCCUCAGCGGUGCCUCCACAAGCAAAAAUU